GACGAACGCUGGCGGCGUGCUUAACACAUGCAAGUCGAACGAAGAGCGAUGGAAGCUUGCUUCUAUCACUCUUAGUGGCGCACGGGUGAGUAACGCGUAAUCAACCUGCCCUUCAGAGGGGGACAACAGUUGGAAACGACUGCUAAUACCGCAUACGAUCUAACCUCGGCAUCGAGGAUGGAUGAAAGGUGGCCUCUAUUUAUAAGCUAUCACUGAAGGAGGGGAUUGCGUCUGAUUAGCUAGUUGGAGGGGUAACGGCCCACCAAGGCGAUGAUCAGUAGCCGGUCUGAGAGGAUGAACGGCCACAUUGGGACUGAGACAAGGCCCAGACUCCUACGGGAGGCAGCAGUGGGGAAUCUUCCGCAAUGGACGAAAGUCUGACGGAGCAACGCCGCGUGAGUGAUGACGGCCUUCGGGUUGUAAAGCUCUGUUAAUCAGGACGAAAGGCCUUCUUGCGAAUAGUUAGAAGGAUUGACGGUACCGGAAUAGAAAGCCACGGCUAACUACGUG
rnacentral:rRNA from 1 species